rnacentral:rRNA from 1 species
UGGGGGAUAUUGCACAAUGGGCGAAAGCCUGAUGCAGCGACGCCGCGUGGGGGAUGAAGGCCUUCGGGUUGUAAACUUCUUUUGCUCUGAACAAGGCGCACCAUGGGGUGUGUUGAGUGUAGGGGUUGAUUAGCGCCGGCUAACUACGUGCCAGCAGCCGCGGUAAUACGUAGGGCGCGAGCGUUGUCCGGAAUUAUUGGGCGUAAAGGGCUUGUAGGUGGCUGGUUGCGUCUGUCGUGAAAGCUCAUGGCUUAACUGUGGGUUUGCGGUGGGUACGGGCUGGCUUGAGUGCAGUAGGGGAGGCUGGAAUUCCUGGUGUAGCGGUGGAAUGCGCAGAUAUCAGGAGGAAUGCCGGUGGCGAAGGCGGGUCUCUGGGCUGUUACUGACACUGAGGAGCGAAAGCAUGGGGAGCGAACAGG